UGUUACUAUGGUGGCGUCACACAAUUUCGCACUUAAACACACAGUCUGUGAAUUACAAUUGUAAGCCCGGUCUUGCAUAUUUUGUCCAUGGAGCCGAAUGAUUUGCCCAAAAAUCAAACAGAUUUCUCGAUUGUGAUGUACUUCCAAGAAGAAUGACCUAUUCUUUAAUAUUCAAGUUACACAACCAUGUACUUGAAGUGGGAAAAGAGACGUGAUAUAAACGUAUAUUUAAUUUUUUCCUUCCAGUUUUUAUUUAAAUUCAUCUGUCUUGGUUAACAUGGAGCUUCUCACUGCUGAGUAUGAUAUUAGCUGUGGCCUUUGUUCUAUUGAG